GAUGAACGCUGGCGGUGUGCCUAAUACAUGCAAGUCGAACGCGUUGGCCCAAUUGAUUGAUGGUGCUUGCACCUGAUUGAUUUUGGUCGCCAACGAGUGGCGGACGGGUGAGUAACACGUAGGUAACCUGCCCAGAAGCGGGGGACAACAUUUGGAAACAGAUGCUAAUACCGCAUAACAGCGUUGUUCGCAUGAACAACGCUUAAAAGAUGGCUUCUCGCUAUCACUUCUGGAUGGACCUGCGGUGCAUUAGCUUGUUGGUGGGGUAAUGGCCUACCAAGGCGAUGAUGCAUAGCCGAGUUGAGAGACUGAUCGGCCACAAUGGGACUGAGACACGGCCCAUACUCCUACGGGAGGCAGCAGUAGGGAAUCUUCCACAAUGGGCGCAAGCCUGAUGGAGCAACACCGCGUGAGUGAAGAAGGGUUUCGGCUCGUAAAGCUCUGUUGUUAAAGAAGAACACGUAUGAGAGUAACUGUUCAUACGUUGACGGUAUUUAACCAGAAAGUCACGGCUAACUACGUGCCAGCAGCCGCGGUAAUACGUAGGUGGCAAGCGUUAUCCGGAUUUAUUGGGCGUAAAGAGAGUGCAGGCGGUUUUCUAAGUCUGAUGUGAAAGCCUUCGGCUUAACCGGAGAAGUGCAUCGGAAACUGGAUAACUUGAGUGCAGAAGAGGGUAGUGGAACUCCAUGUGUAGCGGUGGAAUGCGUAGAUAUAUGGAAGAACACCAGUGGCGAAGGCGGCUACCUGGUCUGCAACUGACGCUGAGACUCGAAAGCAUGGGUAGCGAACAGGAUUAGAUACCCUGGUAGUCCAUGCCGUAAACGAUGAGUGCUAGGUGUUGGAGGGUUUCCGCCCUUCAGUGCCGGAGCUAACGCAUUAAGCACUCCGCCUGGGGAGUACGACCGCAAGGUUGAAACUCAAAGGAAUUGACGGGGGCCCGCACAAGCGGUGGAGCAUGUGGUUUAAUUCGAAGCUACGCGAAGAACCUUACCAGGUCUUGACAUCUUGCGCCAACCCUAGAGAUAGGGCGUUUCCUUCGGGAACGCAAUGACAGGUGGUGCAUGGUCGUCGUCAGCUCGUGUCGUGAGAUGUUGGGUUAAGUCCCGCAACGAGCGCAACCCUUGUUACUAGUUGCCAGCAUUAAGUUGGGCACUCUAGUGAGACUGCCGGUGACAAACCGGAGGAAGGUGGGGACGACGUCAGAUCAUCAUGCCCCUUAUGACCUGGGCUACACACGUGCUACAAUGGACGGUACAACGAGUCGCGAACUCGCGAGGGCAAGCAAAUCUCUUAAAACCGUUCUCAGUUCGGACUGCAGGCUGCAACUCGCCUGCACGAAGUCGGAAUCGCUAGUAAUCGCGGAUCAGCAUGCCGCGGUGAAUACGUUCCCGGGCCUUGUACACACCGCCCGUCACACCAUGAGAGUUUGUAACACCCAAAGUCGGUGGGGUAACCUUUUAGGAGCCAGCCGCCUAAGGUGGGACAGAUGAUUAGGGUG
rnacentral:rRNA from 1 species